UCCCUGGUGGUCCAGUGGUUAGGACUCCACACCUACACUGCUGGGGGCCCGGGUUCGAUCCCUGGUUGGGGAA